GUGAGGAAUAUUGCGCAAUGGACGGAAGUCUGACGCAGCAACGCCGCGUGGGCGAAGAAGGCCUUCGGGUCGUAAAGCCCUUUUCUGAGGGACGAGGCAGGACGGUACCUCAGGAAUCAGUCUCGGCUAACUACGUGCCAGCAGCCGCGGUAAAACGUAGGAGGCAAGCGUUAUCCGGAUUUAUUGGGCGUAAAGCGCAUGCAGGUGGUUCCGCAAGUCGGGUGUGAAAGCUCCUGGCUUAACUGGGAGAGGUCGUUCGAAACUGCGGGACUGGAGGUCGGAAGAGGGAAGCGGAAUUCCCGGUGUAGUGGUGGAAUGCGUAGAUAUCGGGAGGAACACCAGUGGCGAAAGCGGCUUCCUGGUCCGCACCUGACACUCAGAUGCGAAAGCGUGGGGAGCGAACGGGAUUAGAUACCCCGGUAGUCC
rnacentral:rRNA from 1 species